rnacentral:rRNA from 1 species
CCUACGGUGUGCAGCAGUGGGGGAUAUUGGUCAAUGGGGGAAACCCUGAACCAGCCAAGUAGCGUGAAGGAUGACUGCCCUACGGGUUGUACACUUCUUUUAUAAAGGAAUAAAGUGAGGCACGUGUGCCUUUUUGUAUGUACUUUAUGAAUAAGGAUCGGCUAACUCCGUGCCAGCAGCCGCGGUAAUACGGAGGAUCCGAGCGUUAUCCGGGUUUAUUGGGUUUAAAGGGAGCGUAGAUGGGUUGUUAAGUCAGUUGUGAAAGUUUGCGGCUCAACCGUAAAAUUGCAAUUGAUACUGGCAGCCUUGAGUAGAGUUGAGGUAGGCGGAAUUCGUGGUGUAGCGGUGAAAUGCUUAGAUAUCACGAAGAACUCCGAUUGCGAAGGCAGCUUACUAAACUGCCACUGACAUUGAUGCUCGAAAGUGUGGGUAUCAAACAGGAUUAGAUACCCCAGUAGUC